CACCCUUUGCAAACAGAACACACCUCCUGUCUUACCACAUCCUCUCAAUGAUUUUUAGCAUUGCUGCCUUUCCAAAAAGAGGACUUCAGCCUUGUUACUGCAUUUGUGCAAGCAGGCUGUGAAGGGAGGGGAAGUGGGAAGUCCUGCUGACUGAUCUCACACCUGGUGUGUUUGUGUAGCAUCACAGCCGCUCUAGGAAGGACUUGUAUCCUGCCAGUUACGGCCUGGCAGUGUAGCUCCAUGAGAUGGUGCGGGAGAUAUGCUCAGCUUCUGCAGAUUUGAGCAAUGCCAGCUUAAACUGAAAAUGAGUAAAGGGAGUAAGAAGAAUAGCCCGUUCUUCUAGUGAAAAUAUUAACAGUACAUCUGGAAGAAGAAAGGCAUCUUAGUCCUCAUAAGGCAAGUGAACAUUUGGAAAGGUAAGGUACAAAACCUGGGAUGGGAAAAUGCUGAAUAUUGACAAUCUAUCUUAAAGACCAGAGUAGAUGUUGCCAUAACUAUAAAAUUUCCUGGCAUUAAUGAUACAGUUAUGAAGGUGAUGGAGUUUUUUCCCCUUAUUUUUGUAUGCCUUGCAUUUGAAUUGCAGACAAUGUUCCUAAAACAAGAAGUCUGUAAUCUGUGCAUCUACUGGUUCUUGUACACAUGCACGUACACAUGUGUGUUUGUGCACUGAGAUUUAAACUAUCCACUAUUUCUUCACCUUCCAGUGUCGUCUUGGAUUUUUGGAGGUGUGUGGGUUUUUCUGUUUU